rnacentral:rRNA from 1 species
AACGAACGCUGGCGGCAUGCCUAACACAUGCAAGUCGAACGGUAACAGGUCUUCGGAUGCUGACGAGUGGCGAACGGGUGAGUAAUACAUCGGAACGUGCCUAGUAGUGGGGGAUAACUACUCGAAAGAGUGGCUAAUACCGCAUGAGAUCUACGGAUGAAAGCAGGGGAUCGCAAGACCUUGUGCUACUAGAGCGGCCGAUGGCAGAUUAGGUAGUUGGUGGGAUAAAAGCUUACCAAGCCGACGAUCUGUAGCUGGUCUGUGAGGACGAUCAGCCACACUGGGACUGGGACACGGCCCAGACUCCUACGGGAGGCAGCAGUGGGGAAUUUUGGACAAUGGGCGCAAGCCUGAUCCAGCAAUGCCGCGUGCAGGAUGAAGGCCUUCGGGUUGUAAACUGCUUUUGUACGGAACGAAAAGCCCUGGGUUAAUACCCUGGGGUCAUGACGGUACCGUAAGAAUAAGCACCGGCUAACUACGUGCCAGCCGCCGCAGUAAAAC